AAAAGCUGAGGAGCGGUGGCAGGAGCCGGCAGUCGAUCCCCGUGGUUUGGUCUUUGCCAUUCCCCUCCCAGCACGGAGCUCUGGGACAGACACAAAACAGGAUUGGAGCCACGACCCCCAGACAAGGAGCCUUUCUUCCCUUGACAAGCUCCGGCUGCCUGAAACAAAAUACCCGGAGUUGGGAUCCAUUGGCUGUAUCAGUCUCCCUUGAAACCUUACAGCACAAGGAACACCUCGAGGUGAGAGUAACUCCAUCCUGAAGAUUUGGCCUCAGGCAAACAGUGGAAGGCAGUCCGGGCUCUGCGGCUCCUGAGGGAAGUGCCACAGCGAGGGGAACGAGACAGCGCAGACAAAAGGAGCCGAGCACGGCUCUGCUGGCAUACAAAUAGAGAAAGGUGGGAA